rnacentral:tRNA from 1 species
GUUAUUUUGGCAGAUUAGUGCGUUAGAUUUAGAAUCUUUUUAAGUAAGUUUUCUUACAUAUAAUAC